AGAGUUUGAUCCUGGCUCAGAACGAACGCUGGCGGCGUGGAUUAGGCAUGCAAGUCGAACGAUAAUUGGCGAGAUCAAGUCUUCGGAUGAGAUUGAGCUGAGGACAGUGGCGGAAGGGUGAGUAACGCGUGAGUAACCUGCCCUUAAGUUAGGGAUAGCUCUUCGAAAGGAGUGGUAAUACCGAAUGUGGUCGCCUUAGGCAUCUAAGGUUGUCCAAAGGCGGGAUCCGUAAGGACCUGUCGCUUAAGGAGGGGCUCGCGUCCCAUCAGCUAGUUGGCGAGGUAACGGCUCACCAAGGCUUACGGGUAGCUGGUCUGAGAGGAUGGUCAGCCACACUGGGACUGAGAUACUGCCCAGACUCCUACGGGAGGCUGCAGUCGAGGAUCAUUCGCAAUGCGCGAAAGCGUGACGAUGCGACGCCGCGUGCAGGAUGAAGGCUUUCGAGUCGUAAACUGCUGUCGUGAGGGAACAAGGGUUGUAACGCUAAUAUCGUUACAAAGUGAUAGUACCUCAGGAGGAAGCCACGGCUAACUCUGUGCCAGCAGCCGCGGUAAUACAGAGGUGGCAAGCGUUGUUCGGAUUUACUGGCGUAAAGGGUGCGUAGGCGGUUUCGUGUGUCAGAUGUGAAAUCUCACCGAUUAUCGGUGGAACUGCAUUUGAAACUACGAGACUAGAGUACAGGAGAGGAGAGCGGAAUUCUUGGUGUAGCGGUGAAAUGCGUAGAUAUCAAGAGGAACACCGGAGGCGAAGGCGGCUCUCUAGAAUGAUACUGACGCUGAGGCACGAAAGCUGGGGGAGCAAACAGGAUUAGAUACCCUGGUAGUCCCAGCCCUAAACGGUGUACACUUGAUGUGGCUAGGUUUGUCCCUGGCCGUAUCGUAGUUAACGCGAUAAGUGUACCGCCUGGGGAGUACGGUCGCAGGGCUAAAACUCAAAGGAAUUGACGGGGGCCCGCACAAGCGGUGGAGCAUGUGGCUUAAUUCGAUGCAACGCGAAGAACCUUACCAGGACUUGACAUGUAACUGCAAGCCUCGUGAAAGCGAGGUGCCUUAGAGGGUGUUACACAGGUGCUGCAUGGCUGUCGUCAGCUCGUGCUGUGAGGUGUUGGGUUAAGUCCCGCAACGAGCGCAACCCUUGUGGCUAAUUGCUAGUCUUACAGUAAUGUAGGAAAGUACUAUAGUCAGACUGCCUGUGAUAAACAGGAGGAAGGUGGGGAUGACGUCAAGUCAGUAUGGUCCUUAUGUCCUGGGCUGCACACGUUCUACAAUGGACAGUGCAAUGGGAAGCAAUAUCGCGAGAUGGAGCAAAUCCUCAAAACUGUCCCCAGUUCGGAUUGAAGUCUGCAACUCGACUUCAUGAAGCCGGAAUCGCUAGUAAAGGCGUAUCAGCUACGACGCCUUGAAUACGUUCUCGGGCCUUGUACACACCGCCCGUCACAUCAUGAAAGCCGAUUGCACCCGAAGUCGCUGGUCUAACUCGCAAGAGAAGAAGGCGCCGAAGGUGUGGUUGGUGAUUGGGAUGAAGUCGUAACAAGGUA
rnacentral:rRNA from 1 species